rnacentral:tRNA from 1 species
GGUCCAUUGGUCAAGCGGUUAAGACUCCGGUUUCUCAGACCGGCAACGAGGGUUCGACUCCCUCAUGGACUA